GGGGACAAAAUGGCAGAUAUUAUUGAUGAGUUGGUGAAGACUGGCAAGGUAAUUGAGGCUGUGUAUUUUGCUCAUGGGGCUGGUUUGACAGAACGGUUUCCUCCCGUCCCACUUAUCCAAUCAUAUCUCCGGAGCUCAAAGAAAAAUGCCAGCAACAUAUUGAAAAAUGGGAAACACUCAAAUGCUGCAACUGAAGAGUCAUCCACUUUGGAGCUAAAUG
rnacentral:misc_RNA from 1 species